ACAAAAAUUUUAAAAGAAAAAUUUAAAAAUAUAACAUUAAUUACUAACCUUGGGAGAAACUUCCACAUAGAAGAAGCUUAAACCAGGAGUCACAUGGCUCCAUUUAUAAACUCUUCUGCCUCUGAUUGGUAGUAUAACCUUGAGGAAAAUUCUUGAUAUCUCUGAACUCAUGUGAACUAAAGGACUAGGGUCAGUCGAGAACCAGACAACCUAGUUUGGAAUUAGUACAAUCUGUUAUUUCUAUACUCUUCCUCUAUUGUGUUCAAAAUAAGGAUAAUUGACAGUCCAAUAUUCAUGGAAUUUAUGGGAUGGGGAGAGUUGGGUUUGUUCCACUUUGUCCUUAGUUGGUUUCUUGAUUAAUUCUUGUAUGUGUUUUUAUAACCAGAGUCUGGGUAAUCUAUAACAUGUAGAAAUUUACUGAACAUGGCUCAUGAAGUUGGGAAGUCAAAGAUCAAAAUAACGGGCAGUUAUUUUGUCAGUUAAAAGACUGGUCCCUGCUUCGAAGAUAACACCUUGACUGGGGUAUAUAAGUAAAGGAAUGCUGCUCCUCCUCUGGCAAGAGUGAAAACUUAGCAAGCCUGUUCUGACACACAAUUUAAGAAGUCAAAAACCCAUUCAAGAGGCUCAAGUUCUCAGGAGAUAAUGCUGAUCUUGAUCAGAUGCUGUCUGUCAAGUCAAGCCUACCACAUGACAAAGCUGUAAUAGGAAGUAAGUUCCCAACAUGUGAAUGGUGAGGGACAUGCAUAGGUCAUCCCAGUAGGAAAGAAUACUUAAGUGGAAGCCAUGGCAAGCAACUUUAUUCAUUUCCUUUGACCUCUAUUUUCCCACAGGCAUAAUGGCCAUAAUUGCAUUCUCUGUCUCAAAGAACAGUACUUAGCAUGUGCUUCUCAGGUAAAAGCUUUACUGCUGUUCUCCAGAGGAACAAAGGAGUCAUCUUCAAGGAAUGUCACAAGGUAAAGUAAUCCGAUUUGUGUUUUCUUAGAACUCACUAUUCUCCUUAUGUGCACUAGAACUAAAACUUGAACUGAUGAAAUUGCAAGUUAUUUAAGAGGGAAAUUUUCCUUGAAGCAUGAUCUAUUUUUCUCUGAAAGAAGAGGGUGGAGAAAAGGGAUACAAUCUAAAUGUUCCUUUCAGGCUGGGAAAACAUCCUUUUCCGGGGGUGGGGGUGAGUGAGGAGGGUUGUAGUAAUAGUUUAUUUUGUUACACAUUUUGUUUGCUUACAGUGACUAUUUUAUCUCAGUUUUCCAAGCUUGAAUGCUGUGUGGUUCAGGUGUAACUAGCAGUUAGGAAGAUUUUGGUUACCAUACUCAGUAAACCCAGGAAGGUAUUCCUAUAGAAUCGCCCACUUUGACGUCAAAGAACAAAUUGAUCUUGGGCACUAAUUUUGCCUAAAACAGCUGCCUGGAAAGGAUGUACUAUCUUUGACAAUGACAAUAUUCUUCUGCAUAGAAACCAAACACUUCCUUCUCCUUAGCAUAUGUUGUAAACCAGCUUGUUAUAUUGAUGCUCAAAGCCUUUGUCAUUUGGCCAUGAGUGUUUUCUUACUUUAUUAUCUAACAUUCUUUCUUUGGCUCAUAAGGAUUUCAACAUCUCUCUACUGUCUACACUCACAUUUUCCAUAUGUCCAGUUUCUAAGCAUCAAACUCCUUUGAAAACAAGUGUUUGUGACACUGUAAAACUAAUCCAAAACCCAUGACUGAAGAGGUUUUUGGCCCUAUGGGGGACUUAAUAGUGUUGCUUAGCUAAAUUGUGACAGCAUCAAGCCACCUUUUACAUAUCUGUGUUACAGAUAAUAGACAAUGGCUACUCUGAGCCUGAAUCAGAGAAGCUUCUCCUUGUUGUCAAUAAAGUGAAUAAAAAGUCCAUAGCUUCAGAAGAUGCAGAGAAAUAAAGGGUAGUUGAGGGUUUAUCCCUGAAAAAGACCAUUAUAUCAUCCUUCUUAAAUCAUUGCU
rnacentral:lncRNA from 1 species